rnacentral:rRNA from 1 species
UUAAGCGACUAAGCGUACACGGUGGAUGCCCUGGCAGUCAGAGGCGAUGAAGGACGUGCUAAUCUGCGAAAAGCGUCGGUAAGGUGAUAUGAACCGUUAUAACCGGCGAUGUCCGAAUGGGGAAACCCAGUGCAAUUCGUUGCACUAUCGUUAACUGAAUACAUAGGUUAACGAGGCGAACCGGGGGAACUGAAACAUCUAAGUACCCCGAGGAAAAGAAAUCAACCGAGAUUCCCCCAGUAGCGGCGAGCGAACGGGGAGCAGCCCAGAGUCUGAAUCAGCUUGUGUGUUAGUGGAACGGUCUGGAAAGUCCGACGGUACAGGGUGAUAGUCCCGUACACCAAAAUGCACAGGCUGUGAACUCGAAGAGUAGGGCGGGACACGUGGUAUCCUGUCUGAAUAUGGGGGGACCAUCCUCCAAGGCUAAAUACUCCUGACUGACCGAUAGUGAACCAGUACCGUGAGGGAAAGGCGAAAAGAACCCCGGCGAGGGGAGUGAAAAAGAACCUGAAACCGUGUACGUACAAGCAGUGGGAGCACCUUCGGGUGUGACUGCGUACCUUUUGUAUAAUGGGUCAGCGACUUAUAUUCUGUAGCAAGGUUAACCGUAUAGGGGAGCCGCAGGGAAACCGAGUCUUAACUGGGCGUUAAGUUGCAGGGUAUAGACCCGAAACCCGGUGAUCUAGCCAUGGGCAGGUUGAAGGUUGGGUAACACUAACUGGAGGACCGAACCGACUAAUGUUGAAAAAUUAGCGGAUGACUUGUGGCUGGGGGUGAAAGGCCAAUCAAACCGGGAGAUAGCUGGUUCUCCCCGAAAGCUAUUUAGGUAGCGCCUCGUGAAUUCAUCUUCGGGGGUAGAGCACUGUUUCGGCUAGGGGGUCAUCCCGACUUACCAACCCGAUGCAAACUACGAAUACCGAAGAAUGUUAUCACGGGAGACACACGGCGGGUGCUAACGUCCGUCGUGAAGAGGGAAACAACCCAGACCGCCAGCUAAGGUCCCAAAGUCAUGGUUAAGUGGGAAACGAUGUGGGAAGGCACAGACAGCCAGGAUGUUGGCUUAGAAGCAGCCAUCAUUUAAAGAAAGCGUAAUAGCUCACUGGUCGAGUCGGCCUGCGCGGAAGAUGUAACGGGGCUAAACCAUGCACCGAAGCUGCGGCAGCGACACUAUGUGUUGUUGGGUAGGGGAGCGUUCUGUAAGCCUGCGAAGGUGUGCUGUGAGGGUUGCUGGAGGUAUCAGAAGUGCGAAUGCUGACAUAAGUAACGAUAAAGCGGGUGAAAAGCCCGCUCGCCGGAAGACCAAGGGUUCCUGUCCAACGUUAAUCGGGGCAGGGUGAGUCGACCCCUAAGGCGAGGCCGAAAGGCGUAGUCGAUGGGAAACAGGUUAAUAUUCCUGUACUUGGUGUUACUGCGAAGGGGGGACGGAGAAGGCUAUGUUAGCCGGGCGACGGUUGUCCCGGUUUAAGCAUGUAGGCUGAUUGUCCAGGCAAAUCCGGAUAAUCAAGGCUGAGGUGUGAUGACGAGGCACUACGGUGCUGAAGUAACAAAUGCCCUGCUUCCAGGAAAAGCCUCUAAGCAUCAGGUAACAUUAAAUCGUACCCCAAACCGACACAGGUGGUCAGGUAGAGAAUACCAAGGCGCUUGAGAGAACUCGGGUGAAGGAACUAGGCAAAAUGGUGCCGUAACUUCGGGAGAAGGCACGCUGGUGUGUAGGUGAAGUCCCUGCGGAUGGAGCUGAGACCAGUCGAAGAUACCAGCUGGCUGCAACUGUUUAUUAAAAACACAGCACUGUGCAAACACGAAAGUGGACGUAUACGGUGUGACGCCUGCCCGGUGCCGGAAGGUUAAUUGAUGGGGUUAUCCGUAAGGAGAAGCUCUUGAUCGAAGCCCCGGUAAACGGCGGCCGUAACUAUAACGGUCCUAAGGUAGCGAAAUUCCUUGUCGGGUAAGUUCCGACCUGCACGAAUGGCGUAAUGAUGGCCAGGCUGUCUCCACCCGAGACUCAGUGAAAUUGAACUCGCUGUGAAGAUGCAGUGUACCCGCGGCAAGACGGAAAGACCCCGUGAACCUUUACUAUAGCUUGACACUGAACAUUGAGCCUUGAUGUGUAGGAUAGGUGGGAGGCUUUGAAGCGUGGACGCCAGUCUGCGUGGAGCCAACCUUGAAAUACCACCCUUUAAUGUUUGAUGUUCUAACGUUGGCCCCUUACCGGGGUUGCGGACAGUGUCUGGUGGGUAGUUUGACUGGGGCGGUCUCCUCCCAAAGCGUAACGGAGGAGCACGAAGGUUAGCUAAUCCUGGUCGGACAUCAGGAGGUUAGUGCAAUGGCAUAAGCUAGCUUGACUGCGAGCGUGACGGCGCGAGCAGGUGCGAAAGCAGGUCAUAGUGAUCCGGUGGUUCUGAAUGGAAGGGCCAUCGCUCAACGGAUAAAAGGUACUCCGGGGAUAACAGGCUGAUACCGCCCAAGAGUUCAUAUCGACGGCGGUGUUUGGCACCUCGAUGUCGGCUCAUCACAUCCUGGGGCUGAAGUAGGUCCCAAGGGUAUGGCUGUUCGCCAUUUAAAGUGGUACGCGAGCUGGGUUUAGAACGUCGUGAGACAGUUCGGUCCCUAUCUGCCGUGGGCGCUGGAGAAUUGAGGGGGGCUGCUCCUAGUACGAGAGGACCGGAGUGGACGCAUCACUGGUGUUCGGGUUGUCAUGCCAAUGGCACUGCCCGGUAGCUAAAUGCGGAAGAGAUAAGUGCUGAAAGCAUCUAAGCACGAAACUUGCCCCGAGAUGAGUUCUCCCUGAGACUUUAAGUCUCCUGAAGGAACGUUAAAGACGAUGACGUUGAUAGGCCGGGUGUGUAAGCGCAGCGAUGCGUUGAGCUAACCGGUACUAAUGAACCGUGAGGCUUAACCUU